rnacentral:rRNA from 1 species
GACGAACGCUGGCGGCGUGCUUAACACAUGCAAGUCGAACGGAAAGGCCCUGCUUUUGUGGGGUGCUCGAGUGGCGAACGGGUGAGUAACACGUGAGUAACCUGCCCUUGACUUUGGGAUAACUUCAGGAAACUGGGGCUAAUACCGGAUAGGAGCUCCUGCUGCAUGGUGGGGGUUGGAAAGUUUCGGCGGUUGGGGAUGGACUCGCGGCUUAUCAGCUUGUUGGUGGGGUAGUGGCUUACCAAGGCUUUGACGGGUAGCCGGCCUGAGAGGGUGACCGGCCACAUUGGGGAUGAGAUACGGCCCAGACUCCUACGGGGGGCAGCAGUGGGGAAUAUUGCACAAUGGGCGGGAGCCUGAUGCAGCAACGCCGCGUGCGGGAUGACGGCCUUCGGGUUGUAAACCGCUUUCGCCUGUGACGAAGCGUGAGUGACGGUAAUGGGUAAAGAAGCACCGGCUAACUACGUGC